rnacentral:rRNA from 1 species
UACGGGGGGAGCAAGCGUUGCUCGGAUUCACUGGGCGUAAAGGGUGCGUAGGUGGUGAGGUAAGUCGGAUGUGAAAUCUCCGGGCUCAACCCGGAAAUGGCAUUGGAAACUACCUUGCUUGAGGAUUUGAGGGGGGAUUGGAAUACUUGGUGUAGCAGUGAAAUGCGUAGAUAUCAAGUAGAACACCAGUGGCGAAGGCGAGUCCCUGGAAAACUCCUGACACUGAGGCACGAAAGCUAGGGGAGCAAACAGG